AGGCUCCAGCACCCCCCGCGACCCUUGUGAGGAUAAAGCCGAUCGGAAAAUGGAUGGAUGGAAAUUGAUAUUGUAUUGUGCGUGCUCAUAUCAACCUCAUAUAACCACGUAAUCAAUCAGACAAUGCCAAGAAAUUGCAAAAGUUUAGCAUCAUAGCAAUAAGCAUAAGUGGCAAAGUCAGGCAAGCGUUCCUUUGUGUUGAAAGUGACUGUCUCUGUCUAUCCUCACCUCUCUUAUACAUCAUGGUGGACCCUUUCGUGCCUGUAUGGGAAACCAGAUUGGGGCUUGGUGCAAGAAGCGAAUGCAGCAGGUUUUAUCUUGACACUUCGCUCUGUUCCUUUUACACAGGCCAGCAGGAAGGAACGAUAGAGAGAAAAAAAAGUGAGAAAAGAUUGGAGAGAGGAAAAGAGAUGGCAUGAGGUAAAAGAGAGAAAGACAAGGGACCAAAAGACCAAAAGAACGCGGUGAAAUGAAAGCACAAUAUGGUGAGACAGGGGG